UACAGAGGGGGCAAGCGUUAUUCGGAAUUACUGGGCGUAAAGGGCGCGUAGGCGGCCUGUUAAGUCGAACGUGAAAUCCCCGGGCUCAACCCGGGAACUGCGUCCGAUACUGGCAGGCUUGGAUCCGGGAGAGGGAUGCGGAAUUCCAGGUGUAGCGGUGAAAUGCGUAGAGAUUGGAAAGAACACCGAUGGCGAAGGCACUUUACUGGGCUAUUACUAACACUCAGAGACGAAAGCUAGGGUAGCAAAUGGG
rnacentral:rRNA from 1 species